rnacentral:rRNA from 1 species
CGGCAUCACGAANACUACACUGUCUCCCCCCUAAAAUCAAUGAAACUAAUCUCCUCGUGAAGAAGCGAGGAUACAAAUAUAAGACGAGAAGACCCCAUGGAGCUUUAAACAAACCCCAACUGCUCCCUCCCUAAUCAUAGAAAUUGAGCAUUAAUGACGGGUAGUUUUCGGUUGGGGUGACCGCGGAGUAAAACAAAACCUCCACAAUGAAUGUAAUAAAAUACUAAUAAAAGAACCACAAUUCUAAUAAUCAAAAAAUUGACAUAUUUGACCCAAACACUUGAUCAAUGAACCAAGUUACCCUGGGGAUAACAGCGCAAUCCAUUUUAAGAGCCCCUAUCGACAAAUGGGUUUACGACCUCGAUGUUGGAUCAGGGUAUCCUAGUGGUGCAGCCGCUACUAACGGUUCGUUUGUUCAACGAUUAAAACCCUACGUGAUCUG